UUAAAUUGAAGAGUUUGAUCAUGGCUCAGAUUGAACGCUGGCGGCAGGCCUAACACAUGCAAGUCGAAC
rnacentral:rRNA from 27 species